GAUGAACGCUGGCGGCGUGCCUAAUACAUGCAAGUCGAGCGAACGGACGAGAAGCUUGCUUCUCUGAUGUUAGCGGCGGACGGGUGAGUAACACGUGGAUAACCUACCUAUAAGACUGGGAUAACUUCGGGAAACCGGAGCUAAUACCGGAUAAUAUUUUGAACCGCAUGGUUCAAAAGUGAAAGACGGUCUUGCUGUCACUUAUAGAUGGAUCCGCGCUGCAUUAGCUAGUUGGUAAGGUAACGGCUUACCAAGGCAACGAUGCAUAGCCGACCUGAGAGGGGGAUCCGCCACACUGGAACUGAGACACGGUCCAGACUCCUACGGGAGGGAGCAGUAGGGAAUCUUCCGCAAUGGGCGAAAGCCUGACGGAGCAACGCCGCGUGAGUGAUGAAGGUCUUCGGAUCGUAAAACUCUGUUAUUAGGGAAGAACAUAUGUGUAAGUAACUGUGCACAUCUUGACGGUACCUAAUCAGAAAGCCACGGCUAACUACGUG
rnacentral:rRNA from 1 species